UCUUGCACACACACAUGAUUCAUCUAUAUUUGAUAAAGUCAAAUAUUUUGACUAUCUCAUCAAAAAUAGAAGUACCUACUCCUCAAUGUUUGCUUGAAUCCAUAAAUGCAUUUGCCCUCCCAUUAGAGACAAACUCUCUAGAUGGUGUGUGGAAAUAGCAAAAAUCCGAAUAGACAUUCCUAAUAGCAACCUGUUGGAUCAUACCCAUAGGUGCUUCAACCGUAAUUCAUAUUUGGUUGAUGUACCGGGAGUUCAUUUCGGAUAUCAUGAUUUCAAGCCAUCUGUCAGAGUCUCUACUC
rnacentral:lncRNA from 1 species